UCCUGGCUCAGGAUGAACGCUAGCGGCAGGCUUAACACAUGCAAGGUCGAGGGGCAGCGGGAUGUAGCAAUACAUUGCCGGCGACCGGCGGAUGGGUGCGUAACGCGUAUGCAACCUACCUUAUACAGGGGAAUAACCUUUCGAAAGGGAGACUAACACCCCAUGGUAUUGAUUUAAGGCAUCUUAGAUUAAUUAAAUAUUUAUAGGUAUAAGAUGGGCAUGCGUAUGAUUAGCUAGUUGGUAAGGUAACGGCUUACCAAGGCGACGAUCAUUAGGGGUUCUGAGAGGAAGGUCCCCCACACUGGUACUGAGACACGGACCAGACUCCUACGGGAGGCAGCAGUGAGGAAUAUUGGUCAAUGGGCGCAAGCCUGAACCAGCCAUGCCGCGUGCCAGGAAGACGGCCUUAUGGGUUGUAAACUGCUUUUACAUAAGACUAACCGUAUAUUUGCGAAUAUACCUGAAUGUAUUAUGAGAAUAAGGAUCGGCUAACUCCGUGCCAGCCGCUGC
rnacentral:rRNA from 1 species